rnacentral:rRNA from 1 species
UACGUAGGGUGCAAGCGUUGUCCGGAAUUAUUGGGCGUAAAGAGCUCGUAGGCGGUUUGUCGCGUCGAAUGUGAAACCCGGGGCUCAACCCCGGGCCUGCAUUCGAUACGGGCAGACUAGAGUUCGGUAGGGGAGUCUGGAAUUCCUGGUGUAGCGGUGAAAUGCGCAGAGUAUCAGGAGGAACACCGGUGGCGAAGGCGGGACUCUGGGCCGAUGACUGACGCUGGAGGAGCGAAAGCGUGGGGAGCAAACAGG